rnacentral:rRNA from 1 species
UACGAAGGGGGCUAGCGUUGUUCGGAAUUACUGGGCGUAAAGGGCGCGUAGGCGGCCUGCUAAGUCGAACGUGAAAUCCCUGGGCUCAACCCAGGAACUGCGUCCGAUACUGGUUGGCUUGAAUCCGGGAGAGGGACGUGGAAUUCCAGGUGUAGCGGUGAAAUGCGUAGAUAUCUGGAGGAACACCGGUGGCGAAGGCGACGUCCUGGACCGGCAUUG